CAGGAGGCGUGCGGCGGCGACGGCACGCCGUUGGUGUCAUGUGAAAGAUGGCGGCAUCCAGGGGAGGCUGAGGCUUUGAGGGGGCAGUGAGAGGUUUCCGUACAGCCCGAACGUGCGGCUUUGGAGGUCUCUUCGCUCAGUUUCCUGCUCCAGGUUUCGCGCCGCGCAUCCCCCCAGACCCUCGGGCGCGAUGUGGAGGAGCUGCCACCGGCUGCGGGACGGGGGACGCCGCCUCCUGAAUCGGCCUGUGGGUGGCCCCAGCGCUUCUAAGAGUCCAGGGCCAACCAUCCCGUCUCCAGCCCGGGCUUACGCCCCGCCGACAGAAAGGAAGAGGUUUUAUCAGAAUGUCAGCAUCACACAGGGUGAAGGUGGCUUUGAGAUAAACCUGGACCACAGGAAGCUGAAAACUCCCCAAGCCAAGCUCUUUACCGUGCCCAGCGAGGCCCUGGCCAUCGCAGUGGCCACUGAAUGGGAUUCCCAGCAGGAUACCAUCAAGUACUACACCAUGCACCUGACCACAUUGUGCAACACAUCCUUGGACAACCCAACCCAGAGAAAUAAGGAUCAGCUGAUCCGAGCAGCUGUGAAGUUUCUGGACACCGACACCAUCUGCUACAGGGUGGAGGAGCCAGAGACAUUAGUGGAACUUCAAAGGAAUGAGUGGGAUCCAAUCAUAGAAUGGGCUGAGAAAAGAUAUGGCGUGGAGAUCAACUCCUCCACCAGCAUAAUGGGACCCAGCAUCCCCGCCAAGACUCGGGAGGUGCUUGUCAGCCACCUGGCGUCUUACAACACGUGGGCUCUGCAAGGCAUUGAGUUUGUGGCUGCCCAGCUCAAGUCCAUUGUGCUGACCUUGGGCCUGAUUGACCUGCGCCUGACGGUGGAGCAGGCCGUGCUGCUGUCACGCCUGGAGGAGGAGUAUCAGGACUUCCAUGUCAGCCUAAAAAAUUUUUCCAACCUGCUAGGAUGGCUUGGCAUUGACUCACCUUGUCUACUAAACGUGUACACCAGGAAUUGAUUCUGGUCACUAGCUCAUCUUCUCGAUUGUCAAUCUUCAGGAGGUGGAUGUCGUGCGAUGCCCCGACAGCAUUAACAGUCGUAUCCUUAUCAACAAAAAGCUGGACUGAUGAGCAAGAAAGCUGCAGCCUGCCACGCUGAGUCGUGCCGAACGUUUCCAGCAGAGGCGUGCCUGUGGAAUGCUGCAGUUCACCUAUGGAUGUGCAGCUGCAUCCUCAGAUUCUGGCACCUGUGUCCAGGGCCCAGCCUCACCUCCAGCUGCUCCACCAGCUGCAUCUCCAGCGUCAUGAGUGCAUCAAACAACUCACUGAUGUCAGUGCUGCAUUCCAGGAUCAUCUUCUCAAUGUUGGGCAUCUCCAGCUCCUCUCGAAUGGCACUUAAACUCUGGAAACAAUAGACUGCACUUUAGGAAUCAACAACUAAGUACGGUUAGAUAAUGGCAGGUGCUAAUUCGGUUUUGUGGGUAAGAAUUUGGACUCUGGAGUCAGCCUGCCCGAGUACAAGUCUCAGCUUUGCCAUUUGCUGGCUUUGAGAGAUUGUGGAAGCUAUGUCCACAGUCUCCGUGCCUCAGUUUCCUGCUCUGUAAAGUGCAACUGGCAGCCCGUAACUCGACACAGGGAAGAGAACAUAUGUCAGGCUCUUUGGGCACUAGCAAGCACUCACUCCCUGUUAGCUCCGGUUUCUACUGGAGGCUGCUAGGCAGGGUGGAAGGAGCCAUGGCUUUCAUGGGGUUCAGAGCAUUUCACACCAAAAUGUGCCACUUUGGCAUAGUGAUUAUUUUGAGUUAAAGAUACUUAAAAAAAACAGAAAAUAUGAAGAGGACACCCUGACCUCCCUUUUUCUUCCUGAAAGCAGGAGUUACAUCUCCCAUGGGAAAGGUGCCCUCCCUGUACCAGGAGGAAGGAAGCCAUUCUAAUCAGAGGCAGGGAGUCCAGGCCAAGGCGAAUCUGUUUGAACAAACCUUGUUAAACUAACCCUCAUCUGCCUCAUCACUUAUCUAUGAUGAACUGCCUUAGCCCAAACCUCUUUGUCUUGUUAGAAUUCUCACAAUUCACUACUCUUUGUCCAACCAAGUAUAUAAGCUUUCAGCCUUAACGGCUUCUUGAGCCUUCAUUUUGCUUGUGAAUGCUCCCAGGUACAUGUAAAAGUUACUAAAUAAAAGUUGUAUGCUUUUCUCUUGUU